rnacentral:rRNA from 1 species
GACGUAGGGCGCGAGCGUUGUCCGGAUUUAUUGGGCGUAAAGAGCUCGUAGGCGGCUUGUCGCGUCGAUCGUGAAAACUUGGGGCUCAACCCCAAGCCUGCGGUCGAUACGGGCAGGCUCGAGUUCGGUAGGGGAGACUGGAAUUCCUGGUGUAGCGGUGGAAUGCGCAGAUAUCAGGAGGAACACCGGUGGCGAAGGCGGGUCUCUGGGCCGUUACUGACGCUGAGGAGCGAAAGCGUGGGGAGCGAACAGG